AAGCUCUUACUGGCACCAGCCAACACUCAGCUAAGUUAUAAUGAAUGCAGUGGUCUCAGUACCCAGAACCAUGCAAAUCACAAUCACAGGAUCAGAACAAACCCUGCAAUUGUUAAGACUGAGAAUUCAUGGAGCAAUAAAGCGAAGAGUAUUUGUCAACAGCAAAAGCCACAAAGACGUCCCUGCUCGGAGCUUCUCAAAUAUCUGACCACAAACGAUGACCCUCCUCACACCAAACCCACAGAGAACAGAAACAGCAGCAGAGACAAAUGCACCUCCAAAAAGAAGUCCCACACACAGUCGCAGUCACAACACUUACAAGCCAAACCAACAACUUUAUCUCUUCCUCUGACCCCAGAGUCACCAAAUUUGUUUUUAUAAAUGUGCCAUAUCUUCCAGUGACCCCAAGGGUUCCCCAUUUGAGAACAAGACUAUUGAACGCACCUUAAGUGUGGAACUCUCUGGAACUGCAGGCCUAACUCCACCCACCACUCCUCCUCAUAAAGCCAACCAAGAUAACCCUUUUAGGGCUUCUCCAAAGCUGAAGUCCUCUUGCAAGACUGUGGUGCCACCACCAUCAAAGAAGCCCAGGUACAGUGAGUCUUCUGGUACACAAGGCAAUAACUCCACCAAGAAAGGGCCGGAGCAAUCCGAGUUGUAUGCACAACUCAGCAAGUCCUCAGUCCUCACUGGUGGACACGAGGAAAGGAAGACCAAGCGGCCCAGUCUGCGGCUGUUUGGUGACCAUGACUAUUGCCAGUCAAUUAAUUCC
rnacentral:lncRNA from 1 species